rnacentral:misc_RNA from 1 species
GUCGACCUUGAUGUCGACGUCGUCCUCGGUCCACUGCUUGGGAGUCCUUGUUAGACCGGACCUGGAACCGAA